CUUCAAAAUGCAGCUUGACUGUGAUUUAUGGCCAAAAGCUGGAAUAACCCUGCCAGGUUUUAGAAGCUUUAAGAUUCAUCACAUUGAACUUGAUACAUAUAGCACAGCACCUUGAAAACAAAUCAUCUGCUAGUUCAGUCUUUUCUGCUCACAAUCACUCCCUCCCAGGGCAUGUAAUUAAUUUACUGAGCUUUAAAAAAAAAAAAUUAGGAUUACUCACACAGUCUUGAAGAUGCAAUGUCAGCUAUUUAGGACAGAAACAUCCAAGGCCGUGUUAGAACUCAAUUACGAACUACAUAUGCAUUUAGACAGGAACUGGCAGGCCUCUGGAUACGGCAACUAUAGGACUCGUGCUCCUCGUACGCUGGGCUAUAAUCUAUGAAACUGAGCCCCAGAUCCAACCAAUCACUUAGCUCCUCAUAACAAGUCUAACUGGCUCUGGAAAGCUGAAAGGGCUGUGCUGGAAAAACAUAGAUGAGAUAUUCCACACAUUAAUCUGCUUAUCUGGAAUCACUCUGCCUCAAAAGGCCAGAGGAAAAAAAAAAUCACAGCUUCAUUGUCUGGGGGGAAAAGGACAGGUGAUCUGGGAAAAUCACAGCUACAACUGGAGCAAGCUUUAUUCCUGGCUUGGCAAUUCCAACUGUACCGGCAUGAAAGGACCGGAGCCACCCUAGAAACCAAAGGGCAACCACGACAGCAAAAGCCUGAGUGCUGCUGCCUACUGUGACUAUAUGAGAAUGGAAACUUCUAAGGAAGCCAGGUUGUUAAAAUUGUUGUCCCCUUUACUCAAAGAUAACAUAGAUUAUCUAGACUGAAAUGGAAAACAAGCCCUUAAUAUUGCCAUUGAAUCUUCAACACAGACUCUCUGCAUUUAUCUCUUUAAUAAAAUUCCACUAAAAACCCCUU